rnacentral:rRNA from 1 species
AUUGAACGCUGGCGGCAGGCCUAACACAUGCAAGUCGAGCGGAUGAAGGGAGCUUGCUCCUGGAUUCAGCGGCGGACGGGCGAGUAAUGCCUAGGAAUCUGCCUGGUAGUGGGGGAUAACGUCCGGAAACGGGCGCUAAUACCGCAUACGUCCUGAGGGAGAAAGUGGGGGAUCUUCGGACCUCACGCUAUCAGAUGAGCCUAGGUCGGAUUAGCUAGUUGGUGGGGUAAAGGCCUACCAAGGCGACGAUCCGUAACUGGUCUGAGAGGAUGAUCAGCCACACUGGAACUGAGACACGGUCCAGACUCCUACGGGAGGCAGCAGUGGGGAAUAUUGGACAAUGGGCGAAAGCCUGAUCCAGCCAUGCCGCGUGUGUGAAGAAGGUCUUCGGAUUGUAAAGCACUUUAAGUUGGGAGGAAGGGCAGUAAGUUAAUACCUUGCUGUUUUGACGUUACCAACAAAAUAAGCACCGGCUAACUUCGUG